rnacentral:rRNA from 1 species
AGCCCGCUCAGAAACUCAAAUGAAUUGACGGGGGCCCGCACAAGCGGUGGAGUAUGUGGUUUAAUUCGAUGCAACGCGAAGAACCUUACCUGGUCUUGACAUCCCGGAGACCCUUAGGAAACUAGGGGGUGCUUCCAUCUGGAAGAAUCUGGAGACAGGUGCUGCAUGGCUGUCGUCAGCUCGUGUCGUGAGAUGUUGGGUUAAGUCCCGCAACGAGCGCAACCCUUGCCUUUAGUUGCCAGCAGUUCGGCUGGGCACUCUAAAGGGACUGCCGGUGUUAAACCGGAGGAAGGUGGGGAUGACGUCAAGUCCUCAUGGCCUUUAUGACCAGGGCUACACACGUACUACAAUGGCCGAUACAAAGGGCAGCGACACUGCGAGGUGAAGCCAAUCCCGUAAAAUCGGUCUCAGUCCGGAUUGGAGUCUGCAACUCGACUCCAUGAAGCUGGAAUCGCUAGUAAUCGCGCAUCAGCCAUGGCGCGGUGAAUACGUUCCCGGGCCUU